AUUGAACGCUGGCGGCAGGCCUAACACAUGCAAGUCGAGCGAGCGGCGGACGGGGGCGUAAUGUCUGGGAAAAUGCCUGAUGGAGGGGGAUAACUACUGGAAACGGUAGCUAAUACCGCAUACCAUCAGAUGUGCCCAGAUGGGUUUAGCUAGUAGGUGGGGUAACGGCUCACCUAGGCGACGAUCCAUAGCUGGUCUGAGAGGAGUACCAGCCACACUGGAUCUGAGACACGGUCCAGACGCCUACGGGGGGCAGCAGUGGGGAAUAUUGCACAAUGGGCGCAAGCCUGAUGCAGCCAUGCCGCGUGUGUGAAGAAGGCCUUCGGGUUGUAAAGCACUUUCAGCGGGGAGGCGUUACCCGCAGAAGAAGCACCGGCUAACUCCGUGCCAGCAGCCGCGGUAAUUC
rnacentral:rRNA from 1 species